CUGAGUUACAAACUCCAAACCAUUGUGAACUUACCACUGUUGCUUCGGCGGUCACGCCCCGGGCGCCUUCUGGCGACCCGGAUCCAGGCGUCCGCCGGGGGACCAAAACUCUGUUUUCUACCUGAAUCUUCUGAGUAAAACACAAAUAAAUCA
rnacentral:misc_RNA from 1 species